rnacentral:rRNA from 1 species
GUCUACGGCCAUGCCACCCUGAACAAGCCCGAUGUCUGAUCUUAGAAGCUAAGCAGGGUCGGGCCUAGUUAGUACUUGGAUGGGAGACCACCUAGGAAAACCAGGUGCUAUAAGCA